UACGAAGGGGGCAAGCGUUGUUCGGAUUUAUUGGGCGUAAAGAGCUCGUAGGUGGUUCGGUAAGUCGGAUGUGAAAUCUCCAGGCUCAACCUGGAGGGGUCAUUCGAUACUGCCGUGACUAGAGGUCGGUAGGGGAGUGUGGAAUUCCUGGUGGAGCGGUGAAAUGCGCAGAUAUCAGGAGGAACACCUGUGGCGAAAGCGGCUCACUGGACCAUAACUGACGCUGAUGCACGAAAGCUGGGGGAGCAAACAGG
rnacentral:rRNA from 1 species